ensembl:snRNA U2 U2 spliceosomal RNA
AUCGCUUCUCGGCCUUUUGGCUAAGAUCAAGUGUAGUAUCUGUUCUUAUCAGUUUAAUAUCUGAUAUGUCCUCUAUUUGAGGACUAUAUAUUAAAUGGAUUUUUGGAAUUGGGAUUAAAAAAAAAAAGUAAUACGUGCUGGCACAACUUCCUUAUCCAUGAUUUAAUAGUAGAUGGGGGAGAUUUCAU